GACGGAGGGGGCAAGCGUUGUUCGGAAUUACUGGGCGUAAAGGGCGCGUAGGCGGUCCCUCAAGUCAGGCGUGAAAGCUCCGGGCUCAACCUGGGAACCGCGCUUGAGACUGAGGGGCUCGAGGUCGGGAGAGGUGAGUGGAAUUCCCAGUGGAGAGGUGAAAUUCGUAGAGAUUGGGAAGAACACCGGUGGCGAAGGCGGCUCACUGGACCGACACUGACGCUGAGGCGCGACAGCGUGGGGAGCAAACAGG
rnacentral:rRNA from 1 species